UCCUGGCUCAGGAUGAACGCUGGCGGCGUGCCUAACACAUGCAAGUCGAGCGUGAACCCUUAGAAUGAAACUCGGUCGAAUGAAGAGGGGGAAGCGGCGGACGGGUGAGUAACGCGUAGGCAACCUGCCCCGUACAGAGGGAUAGACCUCGGGAAACCGGGAUUAAAACCUCAUAAUACCAUGGUAUCACAUGAUGCAAUGGUCAAAGAUUUAUCGGUAUGGGAUGGGCCUGCGUCUGAUUAGCUGGUUGGUGGGGUAACGGCCUACCAAGGCAACGAUCAGUAGCCGACCUGAGAGGGUAAUCGGCCACAUUGGAACUGAGACACGGUCCAAACUCCUACGGGAGGCAGCAGUGGGGAAUAUUGCACAAUGGGCGAAAGCCUGAUGCAGCAACGCCGCGUGAGCGAAGAAGGCCUUUGGGUCGUAAAGCUCUGUCGGGAAGGAAGAUAAUGACGGUACUUCCCGAGGAAGCCCCGGCUAACUACGUGCCAGCCGCCGC
rnacentral:rRNA from 1 species